rnacentral:snRNA from 1 species
UGAGACACCAUCUCAAAAAAAAAAAAAAAAAUACAGAAAAGAUUAGUAUGGCCCCUGUCCAAGGAUAACACACAAAUGUGUAAAGUAUUCCAUAGUUUU